CGACAACAUUUCCGUGGAAACGGGCCAAUGCACGGACGGGGUGGAAAGUUCAUGAUGUUGGAGUCAGUCUCUACUUGUUGGGCUUUCGACUGCACUGUGGGAAUCGACCUCUCUUCUUCCUGCCCACAGAACAGUUCUCCAAAAGAGAGAGGAAUUCCGAAGAGCUGAGAAGCAGGACCACAAAGUUAGUACUCUCGGGAUUACUGACUGUGCCAUGUGAUGAUAAUAACUGUAACAGAAUCAAUGAAAAACUGGCCAACCAGGAUUCUCAACCAGAGUGAAGGAGACAGCAAACUGUGCAAAUGAAAAAAGAAGAAACGAUAAUUAAAGAAGCAAUACAUUUUGAGAAUAUGAGAUGAGGUGUCAAUGAAAGCAUGCCCAGUAAAUACAAAACAACACAGAUGAAUCAAUGAAAAACUGCACACAUCAAAGACUGACAAAACACCAAUGAAGAAAGGAGAACAAAUAGAACAAAUUGUGAUGUAAGUAAUGAAGUCAAUACAUUUCGAAAUACAACAAAGAUACACUAGAGGGACCGAGAUAAGGAUGGAAACGGUAAAAUGAGCACGUUGCUACUGUACAACAAGAGAGAAACUGAAGAUGCUGCAAUCCAGGGAAACACAAGGAACUGUGCUGAGCUCUUCCAGCGUUCUGUGUCUCAUCUUGCUGGUGUAUCCCAAAUUUGUCAAAGGUCAAAAGAAAUCGAGAAUAAAUAUUUCAAUCUGCAAAGGAAUGGCCAGACUGUUGAAUUUGAAUAAUACAAAAAAAAACUGGAGAUUAGCGGAUAAAUAGGCGCAUGGUGGCUGGAAAUAAACGAGAGAAAGACAAGAGUGAGGUAAAUUGUUAGAAGUGAGAGAAAGGGUGGAGGGAGAGGGAGAUGGAGAGGGAGACAGAGAAAGAGAGACAGAGUGAGUGUGAGAGAGAGAGAGAAAGAGAGAAGACAAUAGGCAAAUUGACGGAUAGGUGAAGUAGGCAAAAAGACAGCAAAAAGCAAAUGCGCACAUUGCAGGAUUGCGGUAUUCCUCCUGUAUCUCUGAGCUCUGGUAGUCUGUGAGAGUGUGGGGUCAUUUUGUACCUGUCAGUCCUUGAGACAGUGUGAUACUGCACAGGACCGAAAUAAGUGCAGGAGGUUGUAAAUCUCUUCAGCUCUAUCUUGGGUACUAGCCUACAAGUUAUCCAGGACUUAUUUAGGGAGCGGUGAGUCAGAGAAGCAACUUCCAUUAUUAAGGACCCCUAGCACCCAGGGCAUGCAACUUUCUCACUGUUACCAUCAGGUAGGUGGUACAGAAGCUCGAAGUCACACCUUCAGUCAUUGAGGAACAGCU